CCUACGGGAGGCUGCAGUGGGGAAUAUUGGACAAUGGGCGAAAGCCUGAUCCAGCCAUGCCGCGUGUGUGAAGAAGGCCUUCGGGUUGUAAAGCACUUUCAGUGGGGAAGAAAGCCUUGGGGCUAAUACCCUCGAGGAAGGACAUCACCCACAGAAGAAGCACCGGCUAACUCCGUGCCAGCAGCCGCGGUAAUACGGAGGGUGCGAGCGUUAAUCGGAAUUACUGGGCGUAAAGCGCGCGUAGGCGGUCUGAUAAGCCGGUUGUGAAAGCCCCGGGCUCAACCUGGGAACGGCAUCCGGAACUGUCAGGCUAGAGUGCAGGAGAGGAAGGUAGAAUUCCCGGUGUAGCAGUGAAAUGCGUAGAGAUCGGGAGGAAUACCAGUGGCGAAGGCGGCCUUCUGGACUGACACUGACGCUGAGGUGCGAAAGCGUGGGUAGCAAACAGGAUUAGAUACCCCUGUAGUC
rnacentral:rRNA from 1 species